rnacentral:rRNA from 1 species
GACGAACGCUGGCGGCGUGCUUAACACAUGCAAGUCGAACGGAAAGGCCCUGCUUUUGUGGGGUGCUCGAGUGGCGAACGGGUGAGUAACACGUGAGUAACCUGCCCUUGACUUUGGGAUAACUUCAGGAAACUGGGGCUAAUACCGGAUAGGAGCUCCUGCUGCAUGGUGGGGGUUGGAAAGUUUCGGCGGUUGGGGAUGGACUCGCGGCUGAUCAGCUGGUUGGUGGGGUAGUGGCUUACCAAGGCUUUGACGGGUAGCCGGCCUGAGAGGGUGACCGGCCACAUUGGGACUGAGAUACGGCCCAGACUCCUACGGGAGGCAGCAGUGGGGAAUAUUGCACAAUGGGCGGAAGCCUGAUGCAGCAACGCCGCGUGCGGGAUGACGGCCUUCGGGUUGUAAACCGCUUUCGCCUGUGACGAAGCGUGAGUGACGGUAAUGGGUAAAGAAGCACCGGCUAACUACGU